AAAAGAUAUAUAUAUAUAUAUAUAUAUAUAUAUAUAUAUACUUUUCAGCUUUAAAUUUUUUAUAUCGUCGAAUUCUUGCAACCCAUUAACUUCUCUUGCGACAAGGACAACGUCUUUGGCACGUUGUAAAGCGUAAAGGAUAAAAGGAAGAGUAAGAGAGGAAAAUUAUUGAUUAAUGUGAGACAUUAAGAUGCCAUCGUUGUAUAAUGUUUUAGAAAGAAAAGAAAAGAAAUGGAAUGAAACUACUUUCUCUGUAUCUCUACAAGUGCCUGGCGUUUCGUCCGCAAAGUGGCAAACAAUACAAUUGAAUUAAAUGCAAAUAUAAACGACCUUCGAAAUUCUAAAUAAAUGAGUAAUAUCAUGUCGGGUGUUGUGUAACGAUAAAGCGUCAAAGUUAUUCUGUAAUGUUUUGACGCUGCUGAUAAUAAUUAAUUAAGCGAUUAAAACUAGGCAAAUAAUAGAUAUUUGUUAAGGGGCGAGUUGUGUCGUUUUAAAUAGGACGCUGCACGCUGAAAGUAUAAUAAACAUAAUUAUAUUUGUUGGAGUCUUAUCGAAAUGCCGGGUAAAAAUUUAUUAGUGAUAAGGUAUAUAUACCUAUUAUUAUAUAACGUAUGUAUGUGUAUAUAUAUAUAUAUAUACACAUAUAUAUAUAUAUAUAUGUACGGCGUAGUUACAUAUAUAAAGGGAGAAUACAUGCGUAAAGCGUUAUACACGACGUGCAUAAAAUAAUCUGUAUAUAUACACAUAUACAUAUAUAAAUAUAUAUAUAAAUGUGUAUAUAUAUAUAUAUAUAUAUAUAUAUGUAAUUAAAAUACACACACAUUGCAUAUAAUAUAUGUCGAAAAAAGGAUAAUGUCAAAUAUAAAACUGAUUUUAAUAUGUCACACCGAUAAUUAUUAUACUUAUAAUCGUUAAACAAAAAUGAAACUCCAAAAAUCAUUCGAUCGUUAUUUUUUUCACUUUUUAACUGAUAUUUCCCGCGUCUGAAAUUACGAGAUGAUAUAUAUCGAUGACACUCGCGCGAGACGAAUAAAAAUAAAUCUGUAAAAUAUUUCUUAUAUUAAAAUGAAAGAGAGCGAGAGAGAGAGAGAGAGAGAGAGAGAGAUGGAG